rnacentral:lncRNA from 1 species
GAAUUAGUUCCACUAGCAAAAAAUUAAACCCUUCUCAGGGAGAUAAAUGUUUAUCUAUAAAGGAGUAUAUUGCUGAAUUUUUCUUGUGCCUUCUGUCCCCACACUUCUGCCUUUUGUCUCAGUCUCCUGUGUGAAUUCUCUGCCCUUCUUUUCCUCAUCUAGUUCCGCUGCUGGAUGGUCCUGGCCUGGGAAGUGAAGGGGAAGACCAUGCAUUUCAAUGGAAAUAUGGAGAAAAAAGUGCAUCCUGUGGUUCAGUGAUACUUAUGUAAUUACUGGAGGAACAGAUGGCCAAUCCAUAGUACACAGGGAAAACAUUGGAAGCAAAUUGACUUAUGACUUGCUGGAAACUUCGAAUUAUACUAUCAAAUAG